rnacentral:rRNA from 1 species
CAGCCGCCGCGGUAAUACGAAGGGGGCUAGCGUUGUUCGGAAUCACUGGGCGUAAAGGGUGCGUAGGCGGGAUCUUAAGUCAGGGGUGAAAUCCCGAGGCUCAACCUCGGAACUGCCUUUGAUACUGGGGUCCUUGAGUCCGGAAGAGGUGAGUGGAACUGCGAGUGUAGAGGUGAAAUUCGUAGAUAUUCGCAAGAACACCGGUGGCGAAGGCGGCUCACUGGUCCGGAACUGACGCUGAGGCACGACAGCGUGGGGAGCAAACAGGAUUAGAUACCCGAGUAGUCCCUGUCUCUUAUAC